rnacentral:rRNA from 1 species
UACGUAGGUGGCAAGCGUUGUCCGGAUUUAUUGGGUUUAAAGGGUGCGUAGGCGGCUUUGUAAGUCAGUGGUGAAAUAUGGCAGCUCAACUGUCAAGGUGCCAUUGAUACUGCGGAGCUUGAGUACAGAUGAGGUAGGCGGAAUUGACGGUGUAGCGGUGAAAUGCUUAGAUAUCGUCAAGAACACCUAUAGCGAAGGCAGCUUACUAGGCUGUAACUGACGCUGAGGCACGAAGGCCAGGGGAGCAAACGGG